GUGGGGAAUUUUGGACAAUGGGCGCAAGCCUGAUCCAGCAAUGCCGCGUGCAGGAAGAAGGCCUUCGGGUUGUAAACUGCUUUUGUACGGAACGAAACGGUCCUGGUUAAUACCCGGGGCUAAUGACGGUACCGUAAGAAUAAGCACCGGCUAACUACGUGCCAGCAGCCGCGGUAAUACGUAGGGUGCAAGCGUUAAUCGGAAUUACUGGGCGUAAAGCGUGCGCAGGCGGUGCUGUAAGACAGGCGUGAAAUCCCCGGCCUUAACCUGGGAAUUGCGCUUGUGACUGCAGUGCUGGAGUGCGGCAGAGGGGGAUGGAAUUCCGCGUGUAGCAGUGAAAUGCGUAGAUAUGCGGAGGAACACCGAUGGCGAAGGCAAUCCCCUGGGCCUGCACUGACGCUCAUGCACGAAAGCGUGGGGAGCAAACAGGAUUAGAUACCCGGGUAGUCC
rnacentral:rRNA from 1 species